rnacentral:lncRNA from 1 species
CCAAAGUUCUAGAGUCUGGACGUCUGAGAUCAGGGUGCCAGCACUGUCGAGGUCACAGACUGCAGACCUCCUUGUAUCUUCAAAUGGAGGAAAGAGGACAAGAGAGCUCCUGUGGUCCCUUUUAUCAAGAUGAAUGCACAAGGAAAAUGUUGUACAUUUGCACAUUGGAGUACACUUCAGCCAUAAAAAGAAUGAGAUGCUGUCAUUUGCAACAACAGGUCAACAGCAAUCUGAGACACACUCUUCUCAUGGCAGAUUAUGGGACCAUAAAGCAGAAAAACAAGGAUAUCUUCAACAGAUGCAACUAUCACCAGUUAAAUAUGACGUUGGAGGACUGUUGGAAACAGAACUUCAUGAUUAAUUUGACAUGAUUUUGUGUAAUUUAGGUUUCAUGCUUUUUAUUUCAAGAUUAUACAUUUGAAUCAAUUUUGCUUGACUAUAUUGUCCAGUAGCUAACUACUCAAAUGGGAAUGCUUGUGUACUUUUAAAUUAAGAGUGUUUAGUGAGAGCAAUUUUGAAGACAAAGGUAAACAAAAUAGAGUAUUAGCUUAUCUCUACAGUUCAGUGGUACAAGUAUAAAGAUUUUUUUGCAAUGUAAUUUCUAUCAAAGCUUAUGUCUUAUUAAAUUGCUG